CCCAGCUCCUCAAACUGAGCAGCGUGUUCCUGACCAGAGCUUGAGCAACUAAUACUGAACUGCCCUGAAAGCCUGCCAUCUCUCAGCUGUCAACCUUCAAAAGCAAAAAGGUUUCAUACAAGAAGGUUUUCCGAUGGGGCAGAGCUUGUUUCUUGAGAACCGCGGCCAACGUUUGGUUCAGGUCUGGCUACUUACGUUCUGUGUUCUGCUUUGCUUCAGGACUGGAGAUGCUGUGAUAUGUAGAAGAUGCAUCAUAAAAAGUCCUGGCGAGCCAUGUGUACCGAAUGAUAUGACAUGUGAGGCAUCAUUCUGUCUGAUGGUAGAAACCUUUUCAGUUGAUAAAGGUGAAUUGGUGAAAACCAUCAAAGAAUGUGGCCCUGAUCAUAUGAUAGGGGCAUGUGGAAUGAAACCAUCAGAUGCAACGAAACUGAGAAUGUCGUGCUGUGAAACUGACUUAUGUUUUGACUGAUUUUACUAUUCUGUACCUAAAUUGCUCCUCCUUCCUGUUCCAGAGAAGAGGACCACCCAUUUGUGUCCACCCAUUUAUGCAUUCCUUCACUGUAACUUCUCCCCACAAAAGUGUGCAAUUGACUGCAGCAAGAGGGUGGGGUGGGAUGUUCCUUGAUGAGUUCAUAGACACCUACCAAGCAGUGCUUUACACUGUCUACUCUUACCUUCCCCACACCUGACCGCAUAUGAAGUCAGGCGUAGGGUGGAUGUGGGCUGGGGUGCGGGUCUUCUGAAAUAGCCUCUUGUG